UAAAUGAAGAUAUUUAUUUGUUUCAUGCAGAUGUGUGUAUGUGGAGUCAUGUUGGAAAAUAAUAAAUAAAUAAAUGAGACAAAGAGAAGAGACAAUGUCCCCGCUCAUAACAAAAGACCCAGAUCAGAGCAGAUCCAACAGUUAACCGUCGCGUGUCUCUUUUGGGAAAAGAUGAUGUAAACCCCACAUCACGUGACUCUGUAAUGAAUAAUACAGGAGGGAGAGGGACAGAGAGAGAGAGAGAGGGAGAGAAAGGGAGAGAAAGGGAGAGAAAGGGGGGAAUAGAAACCCAGUUGAGGUUUGAUGAGAGAGGAGAAGGAGGCUCGUUCAGACUGAUAUUCUGAGAGAGAGACAGAGGAGACAGGAUGUGCUGGCUGCCCAUAGACCAGCCGCUGCUGCUGCCCGGGGACUGCACCUGCAGCGGCCGCACACCGACGCCCUGCUCGCUGGCGCAGCUGCUGGCGUCGCGCCUGCGGAGGAUCGGGGACCAGCUGGAGAAGGGAAGGGCGGCCGGCGGCUGCGGGGACAGUGCCGGGGACAGAGCCGGGGACAGAGCCCGGGCGGAGGGGCUGGAUGUGUCCGGGCGCGGCCACCUGAGGAGCUUCCUGCGCACGGCCCUGCACCUGACCGUGCUCGUGCUGCUGGUCGCGAGGAGACACCUGUAGAGCGCGAGGCGGCGACAGCAGCAACAGAUGGUGCCUUUAGGACCAUGCACGAGGAGCGGGCUCACACCAUUUGCACUAAAAGCAAAGGGCUGCAGGAGGAUGCCGUCCAGGAAGAUGUGCGCAGUGAAUGACACACUGUCGGAGGAGGAAGAGGAGGAUGAAGCAGGGUCCAAUGAUUCAGUGUCCGACACGGAGCAUCACGUGUCACGCAGACUUACUCAGGUCCACUGUGGAUGUGCACUAAGAGUCUCACAGGGAGCUGACACGCUGAAGCCCUGCAGUCAGUCAGAGAGCUGCGCGUCCUGCCCCCUGCGCCUCUCUCCCAUUCUGUCAUCCUGCAGGUUACGAAACAGUGAUGUAAUCCUCCCCUGGUAGAGUGGAGGGAAAAGCUUACUAAUAGGACUGCCUCCCACAGCGGGAGUGCAUUCAUCACAAAAGGGUUUGAACUGAUUCAAGUGUAUCUACAGCUAAAAUUAGUGCAAUCCUGAAAAUAAACUGCACUGAAAUAGACCCGAGCCUCUUCAUGCACUGUACCUUCUACAUAAGCUAUACUGUAAGUGCAAGUGUAGAUAAUAUGAGAGGAUGAAUGUUUCUAUGGGUGUUUUCUACAGUGUUUACAUGAUGUUUACACAUGUUCUUAUUCUUUAGCGUUCUCUGUUGGGGGCAGUGUUAAGUGGCUUUUCUAUGAUAAAGGACCUGUGCAUUGGAAGCUUUACUGUUGAUGCUGUCUGUGAUUUCCUGGAAAUAAGCUUUCUCUGAUAUAACGUGUAAUGUCUUUUAUAAAGUGUGUGUUAUUUAUACUUCUUGAAUAUUUCAUAUGGAUUUUUAAGUAGUCAAAGAUAAUAAAAGUCUUUCUGAAAUAAA